UACGGAGGGUGCGAGCGUUGUCCGGAAUCACUGGGCGUAAAGGGCGCGUAGGCGGCUCAUGAAGGCUGUGGUGAAAGUCCGGGGCUCAACCUCGGAUCGGCCGUGGCGACUCGUGGGCUGGAGCACUGUAGAGGCGGGUGGAAUUCCGGGUGUAGCGGUGGAAUGCGUAGAGAUCCGGAAGAACACCGGUGGCGAAGGCGGCCUGCUGGGCAGUAGCUGACACUGAGGCGCGACAGCGUGGGGAGCAAACAGG
rnacentral:rRNA from 1 species